rnacentral:rRNA from 1 species
CCUACGGGUGGCAGCAGUGAGGAAUAUUGGUCAAUGGGCGCGAGCCUGAACCAGCCAAGUCGCGUGAGGGAGGACGGCCCUACGGGUUGUAAACCUCUUUUGCCGGGGAGCAACGGGCGUCACGUGUGGCGCCACUGAGAGUACCCGGAGAAAAAGCAUCGGGUAACUCGGUGCAAGCAGCCGCGUUAAUACGGAGGAUGCGAGCGUUAUCCGGGUUUGUUGGGUUUAAAGGGUGCGGAGGCGGGUCGUUAAGUGAGUGGUCAAAUUGGGGGGCUCAACCCCUUCCCGCCGGUGGAACUGGCGUGCUUGAGUGGGAGGGAGGUAGGCGGAAUGCGGGGUGUAGCGGGGAAAUGCAUAGAUAUCACGAAGAACCCCGAUUGCGAAGGCAGCAUGCCGGCUUCCGACUGACGCUGAAGCACGAAAGCGUGGGGAUCGAACAGGAUUAGAUACCCGUGUAGUC